ensembl:snoRNA small nucleolar RNA U3
AAGACUAUACUUUCAGGGAUCAUUUUUAUAGUUUCUAAUUGUGAAAAUGUGUUUCAAAAGAGUGUGGUCUCACUAACCAUGAUGAUGAGUUAUGACAUUUUCUUCUGAUCAGGAAACUGACAGAGAGAGCUGAUGUGUUCAUGUUCUCUUUGUCAUUGAUGGCUGUUCUCUACUUCUAACACAAGCAGAGAGGAAGAGAAUGUGUUCAGAGUGGUU